AGAGCUUGAUUCUGGCUCAGAACGAACGCUGGCAGCGUGGAUUAGGCAUGCAAGUCGAACGGGAAACUUUUUCUUCAAUCUUUCGAGAGAGAAGAAUUUGUGGAUAGUGGCGAAAGGGUGAGGAACACGUGGGUAAUCUACCUCUAAGUUGGGGAUAACUUCUCGAAAGGGGAGCUAAUACCGAAUGUGGUCCCUCGGUGCAUAUCGAGGAUAUUAAAGGUGGGGAUUCUUCGGAACCUGCCGCUUAGUGAGGAGCCCGCGUCCCAUCAGCUUGUUGGUAGGGUAACGGCCUACCAAGGCUUACGGGUAGCUGGUCUGAGAGGAUGGUCAGCCACACUGGGACUGAGACACUGCCCAGACUCCUACGGGAGGCUGCAGUCGAGAAUCAUUCGCAAUGCGCGAAAGCGUGACGAUGCGACGCUGCGUGGAGGAUGACGGCCUUAGGGUUGUAAACUCCUGUCAUUCGGGAAAAACGAUACGGUGGCUAAUAUCCAUCGUGUGUGAUGGUACCGAAAGAGGAAGCCACGGCUAACUCUGUGCCAGCAGCCGCGGUAAUACAGAGGUGGCGAGCGUUGUUCGGAUUUACUGGGCGUAAAGGGUGCGUAGGUGGUUUUGUAUGUCGGAUGUGAAAGCCCAUGGCUUAACUGUGGAAUUGCAUUCGAAACUGCAGGACUAGAGUACAGGAAGGGAGAGCGGAAUUCUUGGUGUAGCGGUGAAAUGCGUUGAUAUCAAGAAGAACACCGGCGGCGAAGGCGGCUCUCUGGAAUGUUACUGACACUGAGGCACGAAAGCUGGGGGAGCAAACAGGAUUAGAUACCCUGGUAGUCCCAGCCGUAAACGGUGUGAACUUGGUGUGGGGGGUAUUGACCCCCCCCGUGCCGGAGCUAACGCGUUAAGUUCACCGCCUGGGGAGUACGGCCGCAAGGCUAAAACUCAAAGAAAUUGACGGGGGCCCGCACAAGCGGAGGAGCAUGUGGCUUAAUUCGAUGCAACGCGAAGAACCUUACCAGGGCUUGACAUAUACCUGCACGUCCCGUGAAAGCGGGAAAGCUUUCGAAGGUGGUAUACAGGUGCUGCAUGGCUGUCGUCAGUUCGUGCCGUGAGGUGUUGGGUUAAGUCCCGCAACGAACGCAACCCUUGUGUUUAGUUGCCACUCGUGGUGAUAAAUCACGAAGCACUCUAAACAGACUGCCCGUGCAAGCGGGAGGAAGGUGGGGAUGACGUCAAGUCAGUAUGGCCCUUACGCCCUGGGCUGCACACGUGCUACAAUGGCAGGUACAGAGGGAAGCAAUGCCGUAAGGUGGAGCAAAUCCUCAAAACUUGUCCCAGUUCGGAUUGGAGUCUGAAACUCGACUCCAUGAAGUUGGAUUCGCUAGUAACGGCGUAUCAGCUACGACGCCGUGAAUACGUUCCCGGGCCUUGUACACACCGCCCGUCACAUCAUGAAAGCCGUCUGCACCCGAAGUCGCUGAUCCAACCCGCAAGGGAGGAAGGUGCCGAAGGUGUGGGUGGUAAUUGGGAUGAAGUCGCAACAAGGUA
rnacentral:rRNA from 1 species